CGGUGACGAGAGGCUGCCCCUCUAGGGGCUGCCGGUUAGUUAAGAAGCGCUGCGCGAUAAAUCAGUUAAGGCCCGAAUUUAGCUGUCUUCGCUGGUUUUGCUGAAGGCCAACUGAGGAUGUUUUGGCCUGGAAGUCCCAGGAUGUACACACUCUAAUAGAGUGAUGAAGCCUGCGCAGACUUGAGAGUUUUGGUGAGAGAGUGAAGGGGAAUUGAAAUGGAAAGCUGCCCCAUCGGUCACCGUCGAGAUCUUAGAGAAGGGAGGAGGUGUUGGGGGGUUCGGGGGCGCGGAGCUGGGCGGCCCAGGUGGUUGCUACCAUCAGUGAUUGGACAGUCCUUAGGAACUCAGUGCCAGGGACAGCCAUAGGGACGUUCUGAUUUUCAUCAAACAUAAAUCUCAAGGGGUGCAACUGUGAUUAUGAAAAAGGUGUGUGGGGGGGGGGGAGGGGGAGUACUCUUGGGAAAUAUGAGAAGUACCUGAUACUGUAGACUUGUGACCAAUGCAUUUUAUUUGAUUACUUCAUAAGUGUCCCAGGCUGGAGUCAAAUUGAAGCUCCACCCUUCCUCCCCAGUGACUCAGAGCCCAGUUUCCAUAACCAACCCCUUAUGUUAUCAUAACUUGAAAUACUGACAAAUAGCAAGACAUAAAAACUGCUUUUUGAAAGCAAAAGCUGAACAUUAUUAAAAUACAUUAUCUUGUGAAGGACUGAAGGGAAUCUUCAGUGAUGAUGGGUAUGGCUAUGGUUCCUUAAUUUUCACUGCUGUAUAGUAUUUCAUUGUAGCUAUAUACCACAAUUUAUUUAUUUAGAAUGGCUAAAAUAAAAAGUGCUGACAAACCAAAUAUUGACAAGGAUGCAGUCAGCUGGCUAUCUCAUACAUUGUUGGGAGGAAUAUAAAAUGGCACAGACACUUUGGAACAGUUUGACAGUUUCUUAUAAAUAUAUGCUUGUCCUGUCACCCAGCAAUCAUACUCCUGGGUAUUUAUGCUAGAAAAAUGAAAACUUAGGUUCACACAAAACUCUGUAUAUGAGUGUUCCAUAGAAAGCUUUAUUUGUAAUAGUCAAAAACUGGAAAAAAGCCAAACAACCUUCAGUGAAUGAAUAGACAACAAACUAGAGAACAUCCUUGCCGUGGAAUACUACUCAAUAAAAAGGAAGGAUACAUGCAUCAACUUGGAUGGAUCUCCAGGACAUUGUGUUGAGUGAAAAGAAAAAAAAAAAAACAGUCUUAAAGUGUUAUGUACUGUAUGAUUAUAUUUAUGUACCAUUCUCAAAGUGUGGUGAUGGAGAACAGAUCAGUGAUUGCCAAGUGUUAUGGUUGGGAGAAGGGUACCACUAAGAAGUAACACAAGGUUGGGCACUGACUGGCACCGAAAAUAGCGUGUUAAAAACUAGUGAAAUCCAAGUAGGGUAUAUACCUGAAUUAAUAGUAUUGUACCAAUGUCAGUUCCCUGGUUUUCCCAAUGUGCUAUGAUAAUAUAUUAUCAUUGCAGAAGCUUAGAGAAAGGCACAUAGGAACUAUUAUUUCUGCAACUUGUUUGAGUUUUAAACUCUUUCAAAAUAAAAAGAUAUAGCAUCUGUAUCAUAUAUAUGUAUAUAUAUGUGAUUAUAUAUUAAAUAUAUAUUUAUUAAAUAUCUUAAUUAAAUAUAUUUAUAAUAUAUUUAACAUUUUAAUAUAUUUAAUAUACAUUAAAUAUAUAGUGUAUAUAUACAUUAUAUAUAUAUAUAUAUAUAUAUAUAUAUAUAUAUAUAAUCCUUAAUCUCCAGAAGUCAAAUCUACCCUUUGAACAACCAUUAGCUUUGUUGCUCAUGUCCUUCUCUUUGGAUUUCUGUUUUCAUUCCAUUUUUAGUCUCAUAGUAUUUCAGAGUAAUACUCUGAGUAAAUACUCUGAUUAUUUCCUUUACUUUCUUGCUAGUUCAGCCAUAUUUUAUUUAGCAUUUUUUAGUACUUUGUCACAAAUUUUUGGGGGCUAUCUUAUCUACAAUAUUACUGGAUAUAAUGGUUUUGCUGCAAAGGAGAAUAAGGACUAAAAAGGAGUACAAGACAAAUGCUACCUCAGUGCUAAGAAAUGGGACAAGCUCAGUUCAGGUGAGCACAACAAAACCCAGCUUAAUAAAAUGGUUUUAAAAUCAAUAAAUAAUUCUUUAUAUCAAGUGGAAAGAGCAUGGACUUUGAUGUCAGACAGAUAAACUAUAUUCACACUCUAACCACCCAAGUUAUUUACUAGCUAAUUUAUGAGUUAGCCGAGACUAAGUUAGCUGUGGGUAACAAAUAACCACCAAAUCUCAGUGGCUUGCCACAACAAAGGUUUCUUUCUGGCUCACAUAUGCUGCAGCUCUGCUCCUGUGGAUUGGCUCUGGGAUCUAGGCUAAAGGAGCAGCCUUUGGAUAUUCUUUUUUCCUGGCAGAAGGAAAAGAGAUGGCAGAACCACAUGAUGACUCUUAGAGCAAGUCUCACGUCAAGCCAGACUCCAGUGAGAUGGGAUGUGUAAUCCUGUUUCAGGGACAUGCUGAAAAGGCAGGUACAGCAAAUACCCUGACAGUAAUGCAAUAUUAGUGAAUUAAACUUACUAAUCAUAGAUCCUUUGCCUGUCACUUCAUGUCUUGUCAGUAAAAAGAACUCCCAUAUCCCCCUUUCCCAGAAUCUGCAGUUUUCAACCUUUUAUCACAUUUGUACCAUUUUUUUGUUAUUCUGUUACAUUUGCACACCUCCCCCACCCCAUUCUUUUUCUGAAUCACUUGAGAGUAGGUCACAGACGCCUUGCCCAAUCCCCUCUUGAAAACUUCAGUAUGCAUUUCUACAAAACAAGGACACUCUAACACAUGCUAAUUCAGCAGUCCAAAACAGGAAAUCAGCACUGAUCGAACACUACUGUGCAAUCCACAGACCCUAUUCAAAAUUUGAAAAGUGUUUCAACGUGUCAUUUCUAUUCUGGUACAGCAUCCCAUUCAGAUUCACUGAGUUUUGCCCUUCAUUAUUUUCCUUCAACCUGGGACAUUUCCUCAGUCACUACUAAAGUCAUUUUGCUUUCUGUAAUUGAUCAGUAUUUUGUGAAGAGAAAUUCCCCAAACUAUGCUAACAUCCUAUACCAAUCAAACCUCUACAUACCAACUUUAGCAUUUAUUGGUGAAUCCCACAUGAAUUAAUCACCAUUUGAAAAAAUUUUUUUAAAUGUUUAUUUAUUUUUGAGACAGAAAGACAGAGAGCGAACGGGGGAGGGUCAGAGAGAGGGAGACACAGAAUCUGAAGCAGGCUCCAGGCUCUGAGCUGUCAGCACAGAGCUCAAUGCAGGGCUCGAACUCACAGACUGUGAGAUCAUGCCCUGAGCCCAAGUCAGAUGCUUAACUGACUGAGCUACCCAGGUGCCCCAAUUAACUACCAUUUUAAUGGCUGUCCAAUUGUGAUUUCUUAUUUCCAUAAUUCUUCCUACAUAUAGUAGUUGUCAUUCUAAAAUAAGGAAGAGCUUUUCCCUCUUCCUCAUUCAUUCAUUCAUUCAUUCAUAUCUAUAUGGGCUUACAAUUCCCAUUUUGUUCAAUGGGCUGUAAUCUGCUAUUUAUUUUAGUGCUCAAAUUGCCCCAUAUUUGAUGAAAUCCUCAAGUUGUGUCUUUUAUCCUUUUGAUACACCCUCAUCGAUCAUUGAGCACUUCUUUACAUUCUAGUACAACAAGAUGCUCCAGACUCAUCUUCUACAUUCUCCGCACCAGACUUAGAGUCAACCAUUUCCCCAAGGAGCCCUGGUUCCUUUUAGUGUUUAAAAACUAAGAUCUAGGCAGUAAGUGUGCUCAUUGCUACUACUAUGUUAUUACUACUAGACCCUCUGAGAAGAUAGACCUAGAAAAUAUAUUAGUAUCUAUAUACAUAUAUACAUAUACUCAUGUGUCUCUUUCAGCAGCUUUCUGUCUCUUUAAGAGUUCACAAUGAGGGGCGCCUGGAUGGCUCAGGUCCUGAUCUCGUGGUUUGUGGGUUUGGGUCAAGCCCCACAUGGGGCUCUGUGCUGACAGAGCCUGGAGCCUGCUUUGGAUUCUGGGUCUCCCUCUCUCUCUGCCCACUAACAUUCUGUCUCUCAAAAAUAAGUAAGUGUUUUAAAAAAGCAUUGACCCCUUCAAUUCUGGUCUAGCACAUCAGGGUUAUUUCUAGCCUCUCCCUUUGCCGUAUUUGUAAAUCUCUUCUUGAACAGCAAGAAACCUCAUUCCCAUUAUCCUCAAUAUAGUUUCUUCUCUUUCGCUUUCCUUCUCCCCCACCCCAAUUCCUGUAAUCUAAUUUCCUUAGCACAUUGGUUGCUUCCUUGGCUUCCCCACCCAUGCUGCUGCUGCUGCUGCUGCUGCUGCUGCUGUCACAGCCCCUUUGGCCUCUAAGGGAAGGGAGGAGAGGGGAGGGGAGGUAAUGGGAGGCUAUAAAAUAGUUUUGAGUGAAUUAUUCAGAGAGGGAAGAAAGAAGACAUGAAGGGAGGGAGGGAUGUACAGUGUUAAUAGGUUUAUCACAAAUUUUCUUGAAGUCUAAAUGGUCCCAAAUAGCACAGUGCCUGGCAAAGCAUAGGUGCUCAAUAUCAUUAAUUAUUGUCCUUCCCUUCUUUGUCUUCCAUUUGUUUAUUCUCUAUAGAAAACCUGAAACUUCUCCUUUUAUUCUAGGUCCUAUUGGUUGGGAAUACUAGUCCCAGCAGUGUGUUUAUUUGAACAGAAACUUCUCACAACGAAACAAGCAGAGGUGGCAUGGAGCCCAUCAUAAAGACGUGGCAUCGAUACUGGACUUGUUCCUAUGCUGGUGUGUGGCAGAGACCACAUACCUGGUUAGUAGAGAAAGUGUACCUCCCACUCAGUCUUGCUCUCUUACACGGAAGGCACAUCAUGACCAGUGACUCUGUCUUCUGCAAGCCUGGAGAUGAGGUGGCCACAAGACUGAUAGGGACUGCUGGUGGCCAGUGCACCCUUGUGGACAGUAUUGGCCCUAAUUUGGUCAUUUUAAGCAAGGAUGUAACCAUAAACACCACCCUGCGUCCAGAAAUUAAGGUUUCCUAAACAAUUCUCAGAAGGCAGUUCCUGGCAGCACUUAAACCCCAAGAAAGCAAAGAGAAGCCUGAAACAAAAUCCAGAUGCCUUUCACAGAACAUUCGCUUUGUUAUGGAGGGCAGUGCUGCCAAAGAGAAAUGACCUCUCAGGCUUACCAUACAUUGUCCCAAACGGUGUCCUCAGAAAAGUAAACGUAGUGCCACAUAGAUUAAUGUGCUACAAAGUAAGAAUGUCCAGGAACCUUGGGAAUGUCUGUGCUCCCAUGAGAUGGAAAGGAUCAGCAAGCCCACUUCCCGUAUUGUCUGUCCUGAGGCACUCUGCCAGAAGGCCAUCCAACAGGUGCCUGGGCAUCACGGUCCAUAUCUCAGCAACUUUUGGGUCCUCAUUUGUGUGGCACCCUCUGGAAUGGUUUGGACCUUCCUUCCUUCCUUCCUUCCUUCCUUCCUUCCUUCCUUCCUUCCUUCCUUCCUUCCUUCCUUCCAUUUUUGAGAGACAGAGAACUGUGAGUUCAUGACCUGAGCGGAAGUCAGAUGCUCAACCGACUGAACCACCCAGGUGCCCCUGGUUUGAGUAUUUCUAAAUCAGCAUCCUUGAAGAAGUCCUGUAAUUAGACAUGUUAGAAAUCAACAGAAGAGACUAGAGGGACAUAAAGGGAGGGAAUAGAGAGGGAGUUGAUGGAAUAUCUACUAUGCAUCAGACACCUUAUGUAACAAAUAAUGAUAACAGAAGAGUAUCUUACUGAGUAUUUACUGUGUUCCGUUCUAGCUACUUUGCACAUAUUAUUUACACCUUCCAACAAACUUGUGAAGUGGGUAUCAUUAUUAUUACCCCUACUUAGAGGAACGAAGACAUUGAGUAACUUGCCCAAACACUAUGGCUUGAAAGAUGUGGGAGCAAGAUACAAGUGUACAUUACUUUGUUUAAUAUAAUUCUAUGAUAUAGAUGUUUAUCAUCUCCAUUUUACAGAUGAGGAAACUAAGGCCCCUGGAGCACCAACAUCAAUAUCACUCAGGAGCUUGUUAGAAAUGCAGUCUUGGGCCCCAGUUUAGAUCUAUGGAGCCAGAAGCUGGGCAGAACCACUGGACAGCACCAGAGGGCUCCAGCAGGUCUUAAACUUGAACAUGGGUAAAAGUCACUUGGAGACUAUGUUAAAACCCUGAUUCCAGGGGCCAGCCACUAAAGACUCUGAGUCUCUGGUAUUUAGCAGUAGUAUUUUGGCGCUCUAUAGAAUUGCUUCUACCAAGUACUAAGAUGAUGUGUUUGGUAUCCCAUCAUCUAUCAACAUUAGCUGAUGUUAAAAAUUAAGCAAAAUGUUCAUACUAGUUAAGGAAUAGGUAUCAAUGUUUUAUUUAGUUCAGGGGUUGGCAUGCUUUCUGUAAAGGCCCAGAGAGCAAAUAUUUUAGGCUUUAGGGACCAUUCAGUCUCUCAUAUAUCAUGAAAGUUGCCAUAAGCAAUAUGUAAAUGAAUGAGCGUGUAGAUGUUUUCUAAUACAAUUCAAUGAACACUUCCUUCAUCUGGCUUAUAACAGAGAAUGUCCAGUGAUAUCAAUGAGACCUAGUUCAGCAUGCAUUUGAGCAUUGGAGCUUUAAAUACUUGGAGAGGAAAGGACUCUAAGUAAAACAGCUGAUACUAUAGGGGAGGAAAACAAUUUUACUCUACGCUUCUAGAUUCUUGGCUGAGAACUCUCCCAUCUCCAUAAUAAAGACAGAUUAACAAGAUAAAACAAAAAAUUUCAAUUACAUAUGUAAGGGAGCCCCUCAAAGAUAUGAGACUCAAAGCUGGCCAGGCAGUUGAGAUUUACAUACUGUUCUGAGCUAAGGAAAAGGAUAGAGGUUUGGGGCUUCAAAGAGGAGGAAGACAAUUCUCAGGAAGAUGAGAAGAGUAAAUUAAAUGUUUGGUAAGCAAAUGUUUUUCCUGCCACACAGAUAAGUCUCUCAGAUGAAAAAGCUUUCUCUGAUAAUGGCUCUCUUCCUGGUAUGGGCACCCUUUCUAAUAUUUUUUAGGCAGUUAAGAAGGAGAUAAAAAGCUUUUCCUGAGACUACCAGGCUUUGAUUAUCUUCAGCUCAAAAUAAUUCACAUGCCAAAGUAGCAUAUUUUGGGGUGGCUUAUUCUGAACCUCCUCAAUACAAUAUUCCCGGUUAACUUUAUUCAGCUGAAUCAUAACACCUUUUCCACUGGGCUAGAAAAUCCUAAUCCUUUAUCAGGUUCUUCAAGGUAACCUCUCACCUGCAGGGCUAUGAAUUGCCACUGCUUCUAUCUAGUAUGUUACAAAUUAAAAAAAAAAAACUUGACAAGUAAUCCUCAUUUUAUCAUUUUCCAGGUGUGCAGUAAUUUUUCUCAUUGGCAGUAGAAGAAAAAGCCCUGUGAAGUUCAGUACUGUUUGCUGUAAAGAUUAUCGUUGAAGACACAGUUUUCUAGCUUAUAGGAUGUUACCUUGGAGUACCCACAGGGUAAAUUCUCCUGUCUGCACUAAGUCAUGUAACCUCCCCAAUCAGACACCGGGAAUGAGUUUCAUGUCCUCGCUCUCUCUGGUAUAAUCUUAUUUUAUCUACACUCAUUUGUACUUACUUCCUACUUUCCCCAUUAACUUAAUUUUUAUCUUAUUUUUGGCAUUUUUGUAAAUUACCUUAUGUUCUUUUUGGAAUACAAAUUUAUUUAAAUAAAG
rnacentral:lncRNA from 1 species